UGAGUCAAAUGCUUGUACCUAUAAGAUUGAGCUGUGAUGGGGAAGCACUUUCGAGUGCGAAGUACCUGAUGUCACACUGCCAAGAAAAUCUUCUAGCGUUUAAUUAUAACCUACCCGUACCGCAAACCGACACAGGUAGUCGAGGCGAGUAGCCUCAGGUGAGCGAGAGAACUCUCGUUAAGGAACUCGGCAAAAUGACCCCGUAACUUCGGGAGAAGGGGUGCUCUACGUUUGUAGAGCCGCAGUGAAUAGGCCCAAGCGACUGUUUAUCAAAAACACAGCUCUCUGCUAAAUCGUAAGAUGAUGUAUAGGGGGUGACGCCUGCCCGGUGCUGGAAGGUUAAGAGGAGUGCUUAGCGUAAGCGAAGGUAUGAAUUGAAGCCCCAGUAAACGGCGGCCGUAACGAUAACGGUCCUAAGGUAGCGAAAUUCCUUGUCGGGUAAGUUCCGACCCGCACGAAAGGCGUAACGAUUUGGGCACUGUCUCAACGAGAGACUCGGUGAAAUUUUAGUACCUGUGAAGAUGCAGGUUACCCGCGACAGGACGGAAAGACCCCAUGGAGCUUUACUGCAAGUUGAUAUUGAGUAUCUGUUGCACAUGUACAGGAUAGGUAGGAGCCAUUGAUCUGAGGACGCUAGUUUUCAGUGAGGCGAUGUUGGGAUACUACCCUUGUGUCAUGGCUACUCUAACCCGCAUGCCUAAUCGGCAUGGGAGACAGUGUCUGCUGGGCAGUUUGACUGGGGCGGUCGCCUCCUAAAGAGUAACGGAGGCGCUCAAAGUUUCCCUCAGCAUGGUUGGAAAUCAUGCGUAGAGUGUAAAGGUAUAAGGGAGAUUGACUGCGAGACUUACAAGUCGAGCAGGUACGAAAGUAGGACUUAGUGAUCGGUGGUACCGCAUGGAAGGGCCAUCGCUCAACGGAUAAAAGCUACCCUGGGGAUAACAGGCUUAUCUCCCCCAAGAGUUCACAUCGACGGGGAGGUUUGGCACCUCGAUGUCGGCUCGUCGCAUCCUGGGGCUGUAGUCGGUCCCAAGGGUUGGGCUGUUCGCCCAUUAAAGCGGCACGCGAGCUGGGUUCAGAACGUCGUGAGACAGUUCGGUCCCUAUCCGUCGCGGGCGUAGGAAAUUUGAGAGGAUCUGCCCUUAGUACGAGAGGACCGGGGUGGACUUACCGCUGGUGUACCAGUUGUCUUGCCAAAGGCAUCGCUGGGUAGCUAUGUAGGGAACGGAUAAACGCUGAAAGCAUCUAAGUGUGAAACCAA
rnacentral:rRNA from 1 species